UGCCUAUAUGUUGCUCCACAGUGAUGGAU
rnacentral:piRNA from 1 species